rnacentral:rRNA from 1 species
AGUGAACGCUGGCGGUAGGCCUAACACAUGCAAGUCGAACGGCAGCACAGUAAGAGCUUGCUCUUACGGGUGGCGAGUGGCGGACGGGUGAGGAAUACAUCGGAAUCUACUUUUUCGUGGGGGAUAACGUAGGGAAACUUACGCUAAUACCGCAUACGACCUACGGGUGAAAGCAGGGGAUCUUCGGACCUUGCGCGAUUGAAUGAGCCGAUGUCGGAUUAGCUAGUUGGCGGGGUAAAGGCCCACCAAGGCGACGAUCCGUAGCUGGUCUGAGAGGAUGAUCAGCCACACUGGAACUGAGACACGGUCCAGACUCCUACGGGAGGCAGCAGUGGGGAAUAUUGGACAAUGGGCGCAAGCCUGAUCCAGCCAUACCGCGUGAGUGAAGAAGGCCUUCGGGUUGUAAAGCCCUUUUGUUGGGAAAGAAAAGCAGCAGGUUAAUACCCCGCUGUUCUGACGGUACCCAAAGGAUAAGCACCGGCUAACUUCGUG